rnacentral:rRNA from 1 species
UACAGGGGGUGCAAACGUUGCUCGGAAUUAUUGGGCGUAAAGCGCGCGUAGGCGGCUACUUAAGUCGGAUGUGAAAGCCCUUGGCUCAACUGGGGAAGUGCACCCGAAACUGAGUGGCUUGAGUGCGAAAGAGGGUCGCGGAAUUCCCGGUGUAGAGGUGAAAUUCGUAGAUAUUCGCAAGAACACCAGUGGCGAAGGCGGCUCACUGGCCCGAUACUGACGCUGAGGUGCGAAAGCGUGGGGAGCAAACAGG